GAUGAACGCUGGCGGCGUGCUUAACACAUGCAAGUCGAACGAUGAAGCCCAGCUUGCUGGGUGGAUUAGUGGCGAACGGGUGAGUAACACGUGAGUAACCUGCCCUUAACUCUGGGAUAAGCCUGGGAAACUGGGUCUAAUACCGGAUAGGAGCGUCCACCGCAUGGUGGGUGUUGGAAAGAUUUAUCGGUUUUGGAUGGACUCGCGGCCUAUCAGCUUGUUGGUGAGGUAAUGGCUCCCCAAGGCGACGACGGGUAGCCGGCCUGAGAGGGUGACCGGCCACACUGGGACUGAGACACGGCCCAGACUCCUACGGGAGGCAGCAGUGGGGAAUAUUGCACAAUGGGCGCAAGCCUGAUGCAGCGACGCCGCGUGAGGGAUGACGGCCUUCGGGUUGUAAACCUCUUUCAGUAGGGAAGAAGCGAAAGUGACGGUACCUGCAGAAGAAGCACCGGCUAACUACGUG
rnacentral:rRNA from 1 species